GGCGCGGGGGACAACACCGACAACACACUCAAGAGACGCUCGAGAGAUUUAUUCACCUUCGCUCAGAUGGAAGGGGAGCGACUUAAGACACUACUGAUCGACAAUCGGACAGAAGCCAUGCGCAACAUACUGUGAUAUUUGUAUAUAAAUAUUUAAUUGAUAGCGCAUGAAAGGGAAAUGGUGAUUGCUGAAGGUUGUUGGUGUACUUAAGUUAAGUCAAUUUAAAGAUAUAUUUCAAAUUAUAAGAUCCAGGAUGCAAUAAAGAGUGUUGUAAUUGUU